rnacentral:rRNA from 1 species
GCAAGUCGAGCGGUAACAGAGAGUAGCUUGCUACUUUGCUGACGACCGGCGAACGGGUGCGUAACGCGUAUAGAAUCUGCCUUGUACAGGAGUAUAGCCUUUAGAAAUGAAGAUUAACCCUCCAUAAUACUGAGAGUUGGCAUCAACUUUUAGUUAAACAUUUAUGGGUACAAGAUGACUAUGCGUCCUAUUAGCUAGAUGGUAAGGUAACGGCUUACCAUGGCAACGAUAGGUAGGGGGUCUGAGAGGAUUAUC